AGCCUGAUGCAGCCAUGCCGCGUGUAUGAAGAAGGCCUUCGGGUUGUAAAGUACUUUCAGCAGUGAGGAAGGUGGGUAUGUUAAUAGCAUUCUCAUUUGACGUUAGCUGCAGAAGAAGCACCGGCUAACUCCGUGCCAGCAGCCGCGGUAAUACGGAGGGUGCGAGCGUUAAUCGGAAUUACUGGGCGUAAAGCGCAUGCAGGUGGAUGAUUAAGUCAGAUGUGAAAGCCCGGGGCUCAACCUCGGAAUAGCAUUUGAAACUGGUCAUCUAGAGUACUGUAGAGGGGGGUAGAAUUUCAGGUGUAGCGGUGAAAUGCGUAGAGAUCUGAAGGAAUACCGGUGGCGAAGGCGGCCCCCUGGACAGAUACUGACACUCAGAUGCGAAAGCGUGGGGAGCAAACAGGAUUAGAUACCCUGGUAGUCCACGCCGUAAACGAUGUCUACUUGGAGGUUGUGGCCUUGAGCCGUGGCUUUCGGAGCUAACGCGUUAAGUAGACCGCCUGGG
rnacentral:rRNA from 1 species